AAGGUCAAAAGUCACAAAAAUAACACUUAAUGUUUUAUCAAAAGUCACAAACUUAGGGUUUAGAGUUAAAGGGUGGGGUUUAGGAUUUAGGGUUUAGGGUUUAGGGUUUAGAGUUUAGGGUUUAGGGUUUAGAUUUUAGGGUUAAGGGUUUAGAGUUUAGGGUUUAGGGUUUAGGGUUUAGAGUUUAGGGUUUAUGAUUUACGUAUUAGGGUUUAGAGUUUAGGGUUUAGGGUUUAGAGUUGAUAAAUGAGGUUUUGGGGAUAAAAUUUCAAAUUUUGAAAAAUAAAAAAAAUUAAAAUUUUCAAAGAAUAAAUUUAGAAAGAUGCUAUUUUGGUCAUUUUAGUUUUAGAGUGCUAUUUUUGUGAUAUAAACUUAGAAAACUGCUAUUUUGGAGAUUUGUCCUUUUCCUUUUGUCAACUAAACUUCUAUUAUCAAAUAAAAAAAAAUAUACAAAGUGAACUAAAUAUAUAUAUAUAUAGAUAAACUGAUACGUGUGAUG
rnacentral:lncRNA from 1 species